rnacentral:lncRNA from 1 species
UUCAUGAAUAGCCAAGAAGAGAUUGUGGUUUAGAAAAGAGCCGAAAAAGUAGGCUACUAUCAAUAUCUUCAGCCAACUUGCAUCAUGAAGGAAGGUAGCAGUCCAAAGCUGAAGCAAAACAACUCCAGAUAUCUGCAGAGGACAAAGUUUAGUGAUCAAUAGGACAAAAUAUUUAAGAGACCGAGAAUUUUAAUAGUCAGCAAGAUUAUAUACAAAUUCAAGCAUAAUUUAAAAUUCAACAAGAAUACACAGUGAGCACUAAUUUGAAAUAUUUGCUGCCAUAAUAGAUAAAUAAAUGACAAUGAGUGCUCCCUUGAAAAUAGUGCCGCCAAAAUAGAUAUCUCAAAUCCAUCAAAAAUGAUGAAGCAUCUUUUGUUAAUUAUAUGAAUCUAGUAGCACUUAUCAGUUUUUGUGACUAUUAUUUGCUCAUAUUUUACAAAUAAAUUUUAGAGCUAGUAAUUUCUGAAAUAGCAUCUGCUCUUGUCCUCCAAGAAAUUAGGAUGGUGUAAUUGCAUGCACUUGAAUGAGUAAAUGGAUAUGAUACGAGUCACAUGACCAAUCCAUAGUCACAGGAAUUUUCUGUUGUCACUAUCAUUUAAGCUGUCUAGGAAAAGACAUCUGGAGCAGAACACAUAAAACAUUAUCUAUCAAAAUAUUUGACAUUGAAGACAAGGAGUUGUGAUUAUACCAGUGUAUCAAUGAGCUAAAUUGUAAGCAAGAAAAGUCUCAGAUAGAUGCUAAUCGGAACGCAUGACAUUCACCAGUAGAUACAGUCUUGAUUUAUCUUUUCUGCUUUGGUUUUAAGGGAAAAGAGAAAGUAGGUAAGAGAUCAGAGGCAAUCUAGGAUUAAAUUUUAUGGGUUCAACCAGUAAAGUUCUUACCAAUGAAUCAUUUUACUUCAUAAAUUAUGCAUUUAGAUCUAAAAUUUGUUGAAAAUUUAAUAGAUUUUGACAUAUAGAUCUAAUUAUGGCUUCGUGAACUCAUUUUACUUUUAAGAUUAUAGGUCUAGAUCAAAUAUUUGUUAAAUUUAGUAGAUUUUCACAUAUAACACCAUGUUUAGCAUAGAAAAUACUAUGAACCCACUUUUGGUUGGUGUGCUCCAUCUGCCCCUGAGGGACACAAGUCAUAAAUCGAAGACCAAAUCAUGAUUUGAUUUAUUUUCAGUCUCUAAAUCCAAUCUCCUGGAAUAAAAUUCACCUGAGUGUAUGACAAGUCUCAUGUUCCAAUUCACAACAGUCUGAACACAUAAAUUUCAAAGUGCUUUCAACAACUAUCGCAACCACUCGCAGAAAUUACACAUAUGAGCAGAACAAAAAAGAGCAUAAGCAAGAGAUGUUAAUUCUAACAAGGCAACAGUCUUUUUUUUUCAGGAAAAGGGUAAAAGAGAGGAUACUGAAUCAACAACGACAACCACCCAAUGGGAUCCAACAAGUAGGGUCUGUGAAGGGUAAUGUGUACGCAGACCUUACCCUACCCUGGAGGGCAGAGAGCCUGUUUCCGAAAGACCUUCGGCUCGAGAGGAAGAAUAGGAAGGAUACUGAAUCACCAUUAUAGAAAAUCUUAAAGUUUGGAAGGCUGUUAUAUGUUUCACAAUUACAUUAUCUGAUUCGAGAAGCAAAUUCAAAGGAAAAGCUCAUAGCAUUCCAACUCAAAAAGAUUACCAGCAUAAACCUUUAUGAUAAUGCCUAAUCCAAGGAAAAAGCCAAAACCUACAAUUGAAUUUAUCAAAUAUCCUUGAAAACACAGUUAAACACACAAAACAUAUAUUUCAAAAAUAAAUAAAAGCCCAUCGACUGAAAACUCAACCAGUAAAACUAUAAAGAUUUAUGACUUAGUUCAUGAAUAGCCAAGAAGAGAUUGUGGUUUAGAAAAGAGCCGAAAAAGUAGGCUACUAUCAAUAUCUUCAGCCAACUUGCAUCAUGAAGGAAGGUAGCAGUCCAAAGCUGAAGCAAAACAACUCCAGAUAUCUGCAGAGGACAAAGUUUAGUGAUCAAUAGGACAAAAUAUUUAAGAGACCGAGAAUUUUAAUAGAAGAAACAUUUUGAACAUAUUUGUGGUUACAAAUUAUCUCAUUAUGGGUAAAAUCUAAAUUUUAAAGUAAAUUAUUUAUCAAUAUAAGAAGGUGUUAUUCUUUAUAGGAUAGACUAAAAGAAAAGUGUGCCACAAACACUGCGGCACAUGAAAAGAUUCAAUCUUUUACCCCACAUUAUCCCAGAUCUAAGACAACGCAAUUAAGAAAAACCAAAACUGCAUCAAAUUCACGCAAAUCCAACACUAACUUAUACAUCAAGAUUUCGACUUUAUGCAUAUAUAUUCUAUAAACAUGGGUAUAUACCUUGAAAAAGGCGAACGGUUGUUUAAAGAUUUCCCUUUUUGGAACUCAGUUACUCCAAACUUAAUACUGAAUGAACUAGUAAGACAAUUUAGAAAUGUGUCAUUCAAAAGAUUAAAAAUAAAAUUGUGUCAAACAAAGUGGAAUAGAGGGAGU